UACGUAGGGGGCUAGCGUUGCCCGGAAUCACUGGGCGUAAAGCGCUCGUAGGCGGUCUCUUAAGUCGGUGGUGAAAUCCUGGAGCUCAACUCCAGAACUGCCUUCGAUACUGAGAGUCUUGAGUCCGGGAGAGGUGAGUGGAACUGCGAGUGUAGAGGUGAAAUUCGUAGAUAUUCGCAAGAACACCAGUGGCGAAGGCGGCUCACUGGCCCGGUACUGACGCUGAGGUGCGAAAGCGUGGGGAGCAAACAGG
rnacentral:rRNA from 1 species